GACGAACGCUGGCGGCGUGCUUAACACAUGCAAGUCGAACGGAAAGGCCCUGCUUUUGUGGGGUGCUCGAGUGGCGAACGGGUGAGUAACACGUGAGUAACCUGCCCUUGACUUUGGGAUAACUUCAGGAAACUGGGGCUCAUACCGGAUAGGAGCUCCUGCUGCAUGGUGGGGGUUGGAAAGUUUCGGCGGUUGGGGAUGGACUCGCGGCUUAUCAGCUUGUUGGUGGGGUAGUGGCUUACCAAGGCUUUGACGGGUAGCCGGCCUGAGAGGGUGACCGGCCACAUUGGGACUGAGAUACGGCCCAGACUCCUACGGGAGGCAGCAGUGGGGAAUAUUGCGCAAUGGGCGGAAGCCGGAUGCAGCAACGCCGCGUGCGGGAUGACGGCCUUCGGGUUGUAAACCGCUUGCGCCUGUGACGAAGCGUGAGUGACGGUAAUGGGUAAAGAAGCACCGGCUAACUACGUG
rnacentral:rRNA from 1 species